AGAGGCGGUAUCAAAUUGGAGCAGAUUUCCAAUGAAUGGCAGACGUGGAGGACCUGGUGGAAGAAAGGAUUUCUUCACCAAUGCUUUCUGAUUCAGAAUCAGGAAAAAGAAAAAUAGCAGAUAAAGAUGGUAAUAGGAAGUAUAGGAUCAUUUUAGAGUCUUGAUUCAAGUAUGGAAUCUUGAAAAUGAGAAUUUCUGAAUAUCACGCUGCCUUAGUACAGAGAGAAAUGUUGGUAUUGAUAUGUGCACGAGAAUUUUUCUAUACAUGGAGAUACUCAUUAUCCCACGACAAUUUUUUGGGAUUCUUGUUUUUAUUGCUGACUAUUCAUAGUUUUGGCAGAAUUAUAUGUGAUAUAUAACAUGACUAGUCUGUGUCAUAUGGUUGGAGCCACGCUGGUCUCUUCUCCUCUCGCUGCCC
rnacentral:lncRNA from 1 species